rnacentral:rRNA from 1 species
GACGAACGCUGGCGGCGUGCCUAAUACAUGCAAGUCGAACGCAGUGGGGACGGGUGAGUAACACGUGGGUAACCUCCCAUCAGAGGGGAUAACACUUGGCAACAGGUGCUAAACCCAUAUUGAUGUAUUGACCCGCGGUGCAUUAGCUAGUUGGUGAGGUAACGGCUCACCAAGGCCACGAUGCAUAGCUGACCUUGGAGGGGGAUCGGCCACACUGGGACUGAGACACGGCCCAGACUCCUACGGGAGGCAGCAGUAGGGAAUCGUCGGCAAUGGACGAAAGUCUGACCGAGCAAAGCCGCGUGAGUGAAGAAGGUUUUCGGAUCGUAAAACUCUGUUGUUAGAGAAGCGGUAUCUAACCAGAAAGCAACGGCUAACUACGUGCCAGCAGCCGCGGUAAUUC